UAAGUACAUCAUCUGUGAACAAGGUUGGUGUCUCUUUUUCAGUCGAUUUGCAUUUCUUCAUCAACACACAAUUAUUAAAUUAUUCAUUGUUUUCCAAGUACUUGCUAACAAUCCAAACAUUCUUUAAUGUCAUCCUGAUUGUCCUUUGCUCUUUCCUCAAAAUAUAUGCUCCUGUGACACUGGUGAUGUUGCAAUCUCUGUUGCUAGAUCCAUCAUACUCGUUUGCAUAAAUGGCCGUUAUAAUCUUCACGUUCCGGUGCUGCUAACAUGCAAACAUUGCAAUAAGCAAUGGGCUCCAGAAGUCAGUGACUUUGUAAGGAGUGGUUACUGGCCCGCUACCAUGCAAGCACAGACACUCUUCCACCAAGAUCUGUUCCAUUCCUUUGAAGCUAUGAAGACAACAGCUCCAGGAAUGUCAGUGAAAGCCUUCACAGCAAUGUUGGACCAGAGAACAAAUCGGUUUGGAAGAACGGCAGGAAGAGCAAUGUGUGGGGAAUCCCAAUGGACAGCAGCAAGAGAGACCUCAAAGCAGGCCAACAAGUUGGAUGAAGAAGGUGUAGAAAUUGCUGUGUGCAGGCAUGGAUUCCUCCUCAAAGGUCUGAAUAUGUAUAGAGGAGAAAUCUUUGCAUAUCCAAUGUUUCUCCAAAAAGAGUUCCAGGAUGCUGCAUUUUUGUCCAUGGAUGUGACCUGCCGUUAUGUGCCACACCUGGAGAAGGUGUCAGAGGUCCUGACUCAUCUUCAGCCUCUUCAGAAAAUCAGACAUUGCUUGUCCGUGAUGCAUGCCAAAGCCCACAAUACAAAAUGCGAGGUGAUGCUUUUAACAACUUUUACAUUUUGAUGUAGCCAGCAAUUAACGUAAAGUACCACAAUGAAUGAUGUUGUGACCCAACAACAACCCAGGAGUGUGUUCUGAGUUGUACAUGAGCCCCUAUGUGCUGUCCUCUACAGCUGGUGACCUUGGGAUAUGUAUCAAUAUUGAUCACCCUGUUGUCCAC